UCGUUGGCGUCUGCGUCAGGGACGACGCCAGGGACUACUGCUUGAGCCUGAGUACUGACGAGUACUACUCCGACCUGGCGGUUGUCCACUCCUGUGACCAGCUGGGCGCUAUACGACAGCAUAUUAUCCUAGAGUAUGGAAAUGUCUGGCACUGGGUUGGUGGUUAUGACAAAGGAGAAGAAGGCAGUUGGCACUGGGUCGAUGGCACCACUGUACAGAGAGGCUGUCCCUUCUGGUAUCCUGGGCGCCCUCUAACUGAUGAUACGCGAAACUGCUUGGUUAUGGAAAUGUAUACCGGAUCCUUUUUUGAUCAUCCAUGUGAAAGUAAAGGACUCGUCAUCUGUGAAGAGACGGUACUACCUCUGGCUUCCCUCGACCUCAAUUGAGAAACGUGAAUCAUUUGAACUUUUGUUUAUGUAACGUACACAAUAAAAUUGAGAGCAACA
rnacentral:misc_RNA from 1 species